GCCCGUCUAGCUCAGUCGGUAGAAGCGCAAGACUCUUAAUCUUGUGGUCGUGCGGUUCGAGCCCCACGGUGGGUG
rnacentral:tRNA from 1 species